rnacentral:rRNA from 1 species
AACGCUAGCUACAGGCUUAACACAUGCAAGUCGAGGGGCAGCAUGAACAAAGCUUGCUUUGUUUGAUGGCGACCGGCGCACGGGUGAGUAACGCGUAUCCGACCUGCCCAUGACUCGGGCACAGCCGCUCGAAAGAGCGAUUGAUUCCCGAUAUGUCUAUGAAGUAGAUUCAUGGAUGAAAGAUUCAUCGGUCAUGGAUGGGGAUGCGUAGGAUUAGGUAGUAGGCGGGGUAACGGCCCACCUAGCCGACGAUCCUUAGGGGUUCUGAGAGGAAGGUCCCCCACACUGGUACUGAGACACGGACCAGACUCCUACGGGAGGCAGCAGUGAGGAAUAUUGGUCAAUGGGCGGAAGCCUGAACCAGCCAAGUAGCGUGAAGGAUUACUGCCCUACGGGUUUUAAACUUCUUUUAUGCGAGAGUAAUGUGCACCACGUGUGGUGUAUUGCAAGUAUCGCAUGAAUAAGCAUCGGCUAACUCCGUGCCAGCAGCCGCGGUAAUACGGAGGAUGCGAGCGUUAUCCGGAUUUAUUGGGUUUAAAGGGAGCGUAGGCGGGUCAUUAAGUCAGUCGUCAAAGCCUGUGGCUCAACCACAGCCCGCGAUUGAUACUGGUGACCUUGAGUGCGGAUGAGGUGGAUGGAAUUCGUGGUGUAGCGGUGAAAUGCUUAGAUAUCACGAAGAACUCCGAUUGCGAAGGCAGUCCACUGGGCCGCAACUGACGCUGAAGCUCGAAAGUGCGGGUAUCAAACAGGAUUAGAUACCCUGGUAGUCCGCACCGUAAACGAUGGAUACUCGCUGUCGGCGAUACACAGUCGGCGGCCAAGCGAAAGCAUUAAGUAUCCCACCUGGGGAGUACGCCGGCAACGGUGAAACUCAAAGGAAUUGACGGGGGCCCGCACAAGCGGAGGAACAUGUGGUUUAAUUCGAUGAUACGCGAGGAACCUUACCCGGGCUUGAACUGCUGAGGACCGGUCCAGAGAUGGACUUUCCCUUCGGGGUCUCAGUGGAGGUGCUGCAUGGUUGUCGUCAGCUCGUGCCGUGAGGUGUCGGCUUAAGUGC